rnacentral:lncRNA from 1 species
CUGGUUUUAUUGAAUCUGACAAUUGGUCCCCACGAAUAACACCUGGCACUGUGUCUGAUUGGGAGCUAGAAUGCAGGUGCUCACGCUAAGUUUAGGAAUUCUGGUUGGAAGGGAGUGAUCAUUGUGAGCACACACAAGGAAAUGCCUCCAUAGUGUCUUCCUGUCCAGCAUCAGAGAAUCUGUGUCAUGCGCCUUGAGAGAGGGAACUGGUAUGAGGAGUGGGCCAAGGGAAAGAGACAUAUCACUGAAAACGCCCUAGAGUACUGAGAUUGAGGGUGGCUCUCCUAGGAAACCUAGUAACCCUGGGUAGCACUGAAAAUAUAUCAGCAAGCUGGACAAAGCUCUCCUUGAAGACAGGACCAUGUCUUAUUCAACUUUGUAAUCCCAGGACCUGGCACAAAAGCUGGCACCUAUUCAGUGCCUGUAAGUUACUGUUGAAUAAAUGAACAGAUGAAUGAAAGAAAUCACUGUGCUUCUUCCUAAAUCUAGCUUGUAUAUAGAUAA